CCACAGCCAGCCUGGAAACCGAAACGCUCACGUGAAGCCUGAAAGCCCAUGAAGGGAACGACUGCGACGCUGGGAUCCCGAGACGGGGCCUCCCCGCCUGGAGAGGCAGCCAGCGAGCGGCAGGUUCGGCGGCUGGGCAGCUGAGAGAGUCAUUACUGUGAUCUGUGGGACAUUCUAUACAUGAGCUGAUACUUCUCUUCCUUCUCCUCAGUCUCUAAGAAUGAGUCCAGACCCAUUCUGGGACUCAGAGAACUCUUUCUGGACCGUCUCUUCCCUCUCACCGCCAGCCACCAUCUCCCAUCCAUCAGUUUGAAAAGAAUAUCGUUAAAUGUCUUAGCUACUGCUGGUUGAGCUGCAGCUCUGGAAGCUCUCAUCUCUCCUCUUUGACAACGUUAUUCAAGAAAUGUUGUCUCUCGUACCAAAAGCAAACAACAACAGAAACUAAAACAAAAUGUUUGGAUUAUUUUACCCUUUUGGAUGAUCUUGAGGCUGUAUUGAAAGUAGAGAAGAGUGCUGUAAGGGGAAGGUAGACCAGAGAUAUGUACAGUAGCCGGUAUUUGCAAAGGGGCAGGAGAUGAGACAAGAAGAAAAAGAUUAUGGAAGAGAUACCCCAAGGAAACACCAUUCUAGGAAGAUUUUAUAUACAGGCAAUGCCACGGGAAAAAAUAAGGAGCGGCAACAUUUCAGGACUUCUUGGGUGGAAGAAAGUUGGCAGAGAGAAAGUCCACGGUUAAUGAAGUUAGUGUUGUCUCCAGGAUUAAGAAAACAUGCUUCCUCUAAUAAAUCAAAGAUCAUCAGAGGGAGCUGCUUAUUCCACGAUUCCCAAGACAGCUUCAUCCAGACACUGGCCAUGAGGAAAGGUGAGAUUUGAAUUUUGAUCCCACCAGUGAGCUGGAGGCACAACGGAAUGGCAGCCUAGAACAAGCAGUAUAAGAAAAGCACCAUUUAUGGGCAGGUGUUGGCUGGGCUCCAUGAAGGCCUUUCAGGGCUACACAUGGAAGGCACUCCUGGUGUAUCUCCGGGAACGCAGGAGAUCCCUACCAAGCAGGUAGUCAAAUUCCAAGCCUCACGCCCCACCUGCCCCUUGUGAGCUAUCUUGCCCAACUACUCCAGAAAAUAGUUGCUGAAAGGCACCACCUGCUGAAGCCCUACAGAAGAUUCUGCCCUCCCUGCCCAAUGAAGUAGAAUGCUCCUUUGGAGUCGUCUCAGACCUGGCAUUUUGAAAUAAAGGCUCAUUCAUGGUGCCUUUGUUGAUUUUCUUCCACAUGUAGCUUAUGUUUCGUUUUUUCUAAGUUUAAGAAAUAUUUUUCACAAAUGGCAGAAUAUCUUGUUUUUCAAACCAUCUGUCACUGCUUUGAAAAUAAUCAUUUGAGAGAACAAUGACAGAUUACGAUUACUAAUAAGAAAGCAAAUGAUUUCACAUGCCCACAAAUCAGGGAUGGAGUUCAGGAUCCCUAAAAUAUGGCACCUUGGCAUAUUGAAUAUGUCAAGUUGAAGGUGUUCGAAAAAAUGGCAGAGGCAGCAACAUCACUCUGACUUCCUUGCCUGCUUGCUCUUCUAUCCUGAAGCAGAUCAAUAAAACACUCAUGAGAGGGGUGCCCCUCUGUGGUCCCCAGGAAAGGACCAUCCUUAUCUCUGAGAACAAAGGGGUGUCAAGAAGAAUCUUGACAUGCGGGGCUCGCUAAGUUUUCCCCAGUUCACUACCAUUAUCCUGUACUCCUUAACCUAUCGUAUUUCUCCAGAACUGUCCACUCAUCACACCUAGCACUUAAAGUGCAUGGGUUUCUGUUCCUUUGGGUCUUCAUUUCCUUAUGGAGGCUCCGGGUCACAUCAAAUGUACAUUAAAUAAAUGCCAUAUGCUUUCCUAUACUGUUCACCUGUCUUUGUCAGUUUAAUUUUCACACCCAGCUAGGAACCAACCCUAAGAGGGUUGAGGAAAAUAUUUCCUCCUCUACAUCAGCUUAGAUGUAGACUCUGGGAGAUGCCAGAUUUAGAAUUAAUUUCUAGAAGUCCCUUACAACAAACUCUUCCAGUUGGUUAAAUGUUUCCAUUAAAAGUCAAGUAACCGCUGGCACUCUUCACAGACAUUAUAAAAAGGUGUGAUGUGGAAACAAAGUGAGUAAACAAAAUCACAGCUGCCCUAGGAGAGGCUCAGAGAUCUUGUAAGUCAAAGAUGCUAUAGACCAGGGAUCACCAGACUGAGAUCCACAUGCUGAAUUCAGCUGGCCUCCUGUUUGUUUUUGCCUAUGAGUUAAGAAUGGUUUUCACAUUUUCUAAUGGUUGGGGAAAACAUGAAAAGAAUAACCAUAUUUUAUGACCUGUAAAUGUUAUAUGAAAUUCAAAAUUCAGUAACCAUAAAUAAAGCUGUAUUGGAGCACAGCCACAUCCAUUUGUUUGCCCAUAGUAGGUCUGCUUUUGCUCUGCAGGAACAGAGCUGAGUAGUUGGGAAAAAGACCACUGGCUCCCAAUGCCAAACAUCUUGACUACCUGGCCUUUUAUGAAAAAAGCUGGCUGACGCCGAGUAUAGACCAUUGGAAUUAUAGAUGGCCAUUAGAGUCCAAUUUUCAAAGCUCAUUUUCAUUUGUUUGUUUUGGUGACAUAAGAAAUUGCUUAUAUUACAGAGUUAAGGAAAUAAAAGCACCAUGGGAAAUUAUAUACAGUGUAAUAUUGGUUAUGUAAAAUCAAAAUGUGUAAAUUACGUAAAAAAAGAAAUAUGCUUAGAUGUUAACAGUACUUGACUUUAGAUUGAAAUUUACACAUUCUGUCCCCUGCUUUUCUCUGUUCUUUUGGGAUGUCUACAAACUAGAAAAUCGGAAGAAAGUAUUGAAAACAAUUUUAAGUGGAACCAAUUUGUAUGACAAUCUGUAAAAUUGUUUCUACACUUUGGUUCUGGUACAUUAAACACGGGACAUAGUUUAUAACUAUAUUCUGCUAAUUAAGGCUCCAAAGACCACAUCUAGAUAACUUCAUCUCCCAAAAUCUACGUAACACAUUUUUUUUUCCAAAAUAACUCUUAAGUUAUUAAAUACCCUUAAUAAAAAUCUGAGUACAAUUCUAAUGUUUCUGUAUCUUAUGAAUAAAGUAAACAUUAUGUUUCUGUUAUUUUGCUAAACUGGGAAAUGUAUUGCUAAUGAAUCAGCUAAAAAUUGUAAAUUUUGAAUGAAGAAUGUAGUUGUUGGAGUUAAGGAAUACGUUUUAAGUUUCAAAUGAUUUAUUUGACUGUUUAGUUAUGUAUGGAGAAAAUCCAUUUAUAUAAAUAUUAAUUUUGUGGUAAGAAUUUUCCAUUUUCAAUUUUUUUUUUAAUGAAAGAGGACAAAAAAAACCCCUCUAAAGUCAAGCUCUUUGCUAUAACUCAAGCACACUUAGAAGGAUAUGGUUCCAACAGAUGCUUACCUAUUUGGAAAUGAAAUACGGAGAUAGAUGUACAUGAAGAUUGAUAAAGAUGUGCAUAUAUGUGCAUAUAUUCAAGGCCAGGUAACUCUACAGAUUUAUGCAUGAUUAAUUUAAGUUAAAAGAAUUGUACCUAUUUUCUGAUCAUGAUUUGCACUGUCAGUAAUUUUGUAAAUGGCUAUCUGGAGAGGACGUUUGUUAUUGGCGAGGCUGAUGUAUUAGGCCUUUUUGAUCAUUCUUCAUUUACAAAGCAUUUGUUUGCCCCCGUUUGCUUGUGGCAGAUUGAAGCAAACAGAAACAGGCUUUCAAAUCAUUAUAAAGCCAAGUAGUUUUGCAGCGAAAUACGUGAUGAACAGAACUUUAGAAAGCCGACUAAGAAGUUAGAUGGGUCUAACAAAAGCUGGUCCUUCUUCCAAAAUACAAUCAUCACUUCUUAAUUAUUCUGUCUUUUUUUUUCAUCUUCUUUACAAUUUCUAUAUUCCUUUUUGUGCUAUUAAAGAACACAGUGGUAUUGGGGGGAAGAAAAUAGGUCAAAAAAUGAAACAGAUUGUUGUCCCAAUGUUCGCCGCAAGUAACUCAAAUACCUAAACCUUAUGAAUGAAAGAGUAUUCAGUUACAUUAGGCCAUGCACUUAUGUUUAAGGGAGAUCAUUAGCUUGUAAAAACAGCUCAUUAAAAUGUUGAUUUUGUUUUUCCUUCAUCUUAUUAGAACAGGCAUGAAAAUGCAUGAUACGUAACGAUACUACACUCUUCUGUAUACCGGGCACGCAUUCUCUCUGAACUUUGAAUCAAAACCCCAGAAUUCUCAAUUGAAGUCAGCACAUGAGAUGGACCAGAUCCAUGCUUUGGAUGGGAGCUCUUCAGGGGCAAGGAGUCAGGGGCAAGGAAGGACUCCUUGCAUUCAUCCAGAAGCCUCUAGCUAGAGUUACAUUAACAAUGCAAGCUAACACCUAGGCGGUGUGUACCAUGUCCCAGACACUUCCCUAAGAACUGUCAUUAAUACCUUGUGGAUGCCUCACAACAGCCAAAUGCUACUAGGGAUAUAACCCCCAUUUCACAGAUGAAAACACAAGCCCAGCAAGGUUUGGUAAGUGUGCCCAAGGCACACAGCUGUCAGAGAAGCAGAGUUCCAACCCAAAUUCCAGCCCGGCUCCGGCAUGGGGGCAGCUAACCCUGCAUAGCGCGGCCUCUUGAGCAUGUGGCUGUUGCUUCUUAAGUGUUGAAAGAGAGAAAAGAGCCAUAAAUGUGUGCUUCUACUUGUGGAAGGAAGCACAUGUGCUCAAUAGAUUUGCUCUUAAAAGCACCUGUUCCUAAUAGUCCCCACCCAUGUCCGCCUUACCCCAACCUCCAUUUAGUGCCUUUCUCCCCAUUGUUCUCUGGAAGCAACACCGUAACAUCCGCUAAUUACUAUUAAUCCUAAUUCAUUAGUUUCCAUUGGCUAUCUAACCUUUUGAAAAAUGUUCUAUUUAAAGGAUAAAUUAAGUGUCAUCCCAGAGGCAUCAAUUACCAGUAGGAAAGGUUUUGGGGUGAGGGCUCAAGGCCCCUCUGUAGCACUACUCCUAAAAUCAAGCCACCAAAAGACCAUUCAUACUUAAUGUGACCCAUUGCUCAUGGGAAGCAUAGGGGACAAGAUACCAAGACCAGUAAUAAGCUUAGGGACUCACAAAAGUGUUUUAAAUUAUUUUAAAACCAGAAAAAAAGCACUUCAAGGUCAAAAAGAAGCUUUAUGUUUUCUUUUAUUUUCAUAACAAAUGUAGUUGUAAAAUACGAUUUUACGUUCCUCGCUCUCCUUCCCUCUCCCUCUCUCCUCCUCCCUCCUCGCUCACCCCUUCCUUCAUUUCUCUACUUCUUUAUUUAAUGAAAGAAGAGAGCUAUGAAGGCAGAAAUGCUUAGGGUCACUAAAGUCAGAAUGUGGCUGGUUGGGGAGGAGAAAGCAACUCUUCACUUAUAUGCAUUCAUUUUCUCCUAACAAAUUAAUUGAAUCUAAGAGAAAACACAAAUAGCAACAACAACAACAAGAACAAAACCACAAAGCAAACACCUUUUUGAUCUUAUGAAUAGCUGAAUCUAAGAAUACAGUAAUUUUUUCUUAUAAAAUGAUCUCUGUGGUUUCAUAGAGAAUGGAUAUAGCCUCUUCCUAUGCUUUAUUUCACAAGUAACUUGGAGAUUGGGAGAGCUUAUUUUUCUCUUUGUGCCUUGGUUAUUCUACUCAAUAGCUACAAUGGGUUAGCCAGUAGCAACAGGAGUAACAUUUUAUUUGGGUGUUGCAAAUUAUAACUUUCUGAUUUUGUUCAGGGGGAAAUAAUUUUGUUUCUGUGCAACCUGUCAUGUGAUUAUUUUAAGUAACUUUCAGUUGUUAAAAUAAGAACCAUUUUGAUAACUUGUCACAUAUUAACAAGUUAAUUAACAAAAUGUAAUUAACAAAAUUAACAAAAAUGUAAUGCUAAAAUAGUAACAACACCCAAAGGUUUAGCUACUAAGUUUUGAGGUGCUAAAUCAUUAGCCUUCUCAGAAGUCCUGCGCCAUUAAGAGAAUGGGCUUUGGGAUGUUAUAGACCAGGACUUCCAGAUUUGUUCUGUCCAGUACAGUCACCACUAGUCACAUAUGGCUGCUGAAAUUUAAUUUAAAUUAAUCAAAAUUAAUGAAUUUCCGCAGUCACACUAGCCACAUUUCAAGUGCUCAGUACUCUCAUAUAGAAUGUGGCCACCAUAUUGGAAAUGGCAAAUACAAAGCAUUUCCAUCAUUACAGAAGGUUCUAUUGGACUUGAUUGGAGGUUGGCACAUAAAUAGUUUAGGCUUUGUAGGUAGGAUAUAUGGUGUUUGUUGUAACUACUUAACUCUGUCAUUGUAGUGGAAAAGCAACUGUAGACAGUAUAUAAACAAAUGGGUGUGGCUUUGUCCCAAUAAAAGUUUAUUUAAAAAAAUAGGCAGUGGGCUGGGUCUGGCUAAGAUAUGUAAUUUGCCACCUCUGGACUAGAUUAUCCAUGCAGGGCACUAAACACUGCAUUGGACACAAAAUAAGCAGUCAAUAAAUAGUAUUAUUUUCUUGAGUUUUUUUGAAAAAUAAGAAAAGUAACUAAAAGGCAGGAAAUAACUAAAAAGCCCAAUAGUUUUUGGUGUGUUCCAGAAACAUAAUAGCUGUAAUACUUAAUGCUGUAAAAAAAAAAA